rnacentral:rRNA from 1 species
AUUGAAUGCUGGCGGCAGGCUUAACACAUGCAAGUCGAGCGGAGAUGAGGUGCUUGCACCUUAUCUUAGCGGCGGACAGGUGAGUAAUGCUUAGGAAUCUGCCUAUUAGUGGGGGACAACAUUCCGAAAGGAAUGCUAAUACCGCAUACGUCCUACGGGAGAAAGCAGGGGAUCUUCGGACCUUGCGCUAAUAGAUGAGCCUAAGCCGGAUUAGCUAGUUGGUGGGGUAAAGGCCUACCAAGGCGACGAUCUGUAGCGGGUCUGAGAGGAUGAUCCGCCACACUGGGACUGAGACACGGCCCAGACUCCUACGGGAGGCAGCAGUGGGGAAUAUUGGACAAUGGGCGGAAGCCUGAUCCAGCCAUGCCGCGUGUGUGAAGAAGGCCUUUUGGUUGUAAAGCACUUUAAGCGAGGAGGAGGCUACUAGUAUUAAUACUACUGGAUAGUGGACGUUACUCGCAGAAUAAGCACCGGCUAACUCUGUGCCAGCCGCCGCGGUAA